CAGGAUGUUUAUGUUUGCUAUUGCUUUCGUUUUCUCUCUGGUGUCGCAGACACUAAAGCAGUCGGUCAUGUUUUUCUGUGUUCUGAUCAACGCUGAAUAAACUUGUAAAUAAUGCUCUCCUGAGUGCAACUUUUGGCUGUGCUAAUUGCUGAUAGAGCGUGCAUGAGUCUGGAAUGUGGCAAGAUAUUUUCUAGAAACUCAUGUCGCUGCGUGCCUACGGGAGGCUGAUGGAUCGUCCGGCAGACGGCUUGGGGCCGUGAUGGACUUUAUCUCCCUGGCAGUAUCCCAACAACAAGGUUUCGGGCCCAGAUUCACGGCACUUACAGGAGAGUAAGACUGCGACAGACUGCUGAAAGGUAUGUGGAGAAAAGCGAAAGUGAGGCUUUUCUGUUUGCCGCGGCAAGAGCUUUGAUGUCCGGCAGGCCUAAUUGGUCUGGGCGUCGAGCCCAGCAGGCCUCAAGAUUAAUGAGCUGCUAAGAUAAGACGUCUUUGAAGGCAUAAAGGCUCAAGGCUCAAGUAAAAGCUGGAAUGGAGUUUUUCCAGGCUUCUGAGGCUCCUGAGUGCCCAAAGUUAAAUCGGCACAAUUAUGGGACCUGGGCUGUGUGGUGUGAGAGCUUGCUGCGUCAGUUUGGAGUGUGGCAUACUGUGUCUGAAGCCCCUCCAGUUCCUCUGACAGAUAGAUGGGAGGCCGAGAAUUUGAGGGCGAUAGACGUAAUCGUCUUGUCCGUCUCUCUGGAGGAAAUAAAGACGCUAGCUGGCAAUCUGACUGCACGUAAUAUGUGGCAUGCUUUGAAGAUAGCCCAUCUGCCAGUCAUCCCAGCCCAGAGUUUGACUGCAUCGGAGGUCCUGGCUGUUUCCCAGAAUGCGAGUGAAUGCAGGGAUGCCGAGGGCACCGGUUGCAAGCUGCAGGGGGGCUGACUGUCACGUCAUCCCAGGCAGCAUUCCAGCCUCCAGGGGGAGCCAAGGAGUCGGCAGCUGAGAGCUCUGUUUCUCAUGGGAACCAAGGUCAUCGCCUUUGCAGAGGCCGGAAGGGCAAAGGUAAACAGAGGCAGACGCCUGCAGAUGGCCAGAAGCAGAGGGAGGGUGAAGAGCCCACGCCAGUGGAAAACAAGGUUUUGUUUGCUGGCACAGCCUCACCAAAGGUCACAGCCAGGUUUGUUGUUGAUUCAGGCUGUACCCGCCAUGUCUCAAAGGACCGCCACCUCUUUAUCUCCUUCAAACCUCAAGAAGGUGAGAUCCACCUGGCUGACGGAAAAACAUUGCGAAUCGCAGGAGAAGGGACUGUGAAACUGGCAAGUCUGCACACUACCAUCAAAGAUGUACUAUAUGUUCCAGGUGCUGCAGACAAUUUGCUUAGUGUCCCACAGCUGACUGGGCGUGGUUUUGAGAUUUCCUUCAAGAGGAGCGUUUGUGUCAUCAGAAAAGGCAAAGAGGACAUUUUGCAUGCAAAGUUUAUGGAUGGCUUGUUCUGUAUAACUUAUGAUGACAUUGGUGCUGUUGUGUCUAAUGCUGAUUCUUGUUGUGUUGCACAAACUAACAAAGUUCUUCAUGCAGGAUGCAUUCAUGAUGCACACAGAAGAUUUUGUCACAUGUCUUGGAAGGCGCUGGCCAAGAUGCCAGAGAUGGUUGAGGGUCUGAACAUCAAACCCUGUAAGUUUCACAUGAAAUGUGUAUCUUGUGCAGAGAACAAGGUGAAGGUUGCUCCAAAAGGCAAGGAGUCUAGCAGGCAGGCUUCCAAACCCUACCAGCUAGUGCACACAGACCUGGUUGGUCCACUUGCACCCUCUUUGGGUGGAGCAAGGUACUUCAUGGUUCUAAUUGAUUCUUUUUCCAGGUACAUUCAUGUGUUUAUGCUCGAGCAGAAAUCGCAAGCGUUUCCUAAGUUCAAGGCAUUCUGUGCUUGGUUGGAGAAUGUUCACGGUAAACGUAUUGGCUGUCUGUUUACUGAUCGAGGCGGGAGUUCACUUCUCAGCAGUUUGAAGCUUUCCUGACUGAGAAGGGAUCCAGCAUGACUUGUCAACGCCUAGAUCGCCAUGGAUGAAUGGGCUUGCGGAGCGAGCAAAUCAAACGUUGCUGCAAGGAAUGAAAACAUUGUUGCAUGAUGCCAAUCUCCUGAUAAGUAUUGGGGGGGAGGCUCUGUCGAAUUUUGUUUACACUUUUAAUCGCAGGUUGUCAUCACCUAUUGGUUGUACCCCCUAUGAGAAGAUGUUUGGUAAGAAACCCAACAUCAAGCACAUGAGAAUCUUUGGUUCUGACAUGUGGGUACACACCCCACAGAGCAACAAGCUUGGGAAGCGUGGGGCACAUGGUUUGUUCAUGGGGUACGAAAAGGUGCAUACAGGGUAUGGAUGACCAACUCUAAGUCCAUUAAGUUCACAGAGAGUGUUGAGUACAAUCCUAAGUGUGGGGAAAAUGUGGGAAUUUUCCAGAGUUACCCAGAGGAGGAUGAAGGUGAUGUCAAAGAAGCAGCUAAAGCUGAGGAAGCUGCUGAGGAUGAUGAUGAUGAUGAUGAUGAUCAGAGUUCGGAUUCCAGUUCAGUGGGCGGCGCUGCUGCUGGUGUCAGUGACAGUGAUGACACAGCAGACUACAAGAGUGCAAAGGCCUCAGUCAGACCAUCUGAUGCGUCUGACAAUGAACUGGAAGAACCACUGUUCACCAUUGGUCACUUUUCUCCUAAGAAGGAGGAGAUGAGUCCAGAAGACCUGCGUCUAGUACGCAGAUCUGAAAGAGCCACAAAGGGCAGACCUCCAAAGAGAUUUGCUGAUGAGUUUGCUAAGACAGCAACUGCUGUUCUUAGUAGCUCAGAGAAGGUAUGGGAACCUUCAAGCUUCAAAGAGGUUCAGGAGUUAACCUCUAAAGAUGCUGAGCCUUGGCUAAAUGCCAUGAAGGCUGAAGUUGAUUCCUUGAAUAGGAACCAAACUUGGGAACUGGUACCGGUAGUCCCAGGGAUGAGACUGGUUGGCAGCAAAUGGGUCUUCAAGGCCAAGACAGACCAGAAUGGCAAGGUUGUCAGACACAAAGCCAGAUUGGUUGCCGGAGGUUUUCACAGGUACCAGGACAGGAUUACCACGAGACCUACUCACCCACCGUCAAAUAUGAGAGCAUUCGGCUGAUGCUCAAGAUAGCUGCAGAGGAGAAACUGCAUGUUUCCCAUCAUGACAUUAAUACAGCUUUUUGUACGGGAUUUUGAACGAGGAGCUGUUUAUGCUUCCACCUGAUGGAAUGCAGAUACAGAAGGGAAUGGUCUGUAAACUGCGGAAAUCCUUGUAUGGUCUCAAGCAGAGUGCCAGGUGUUGGAACACAAAGCUCACUGAGACAUUGCUUUCUCUAGGUUUUCACCAGGGCAAAGCUGAUCCGUGUGUGUUUGUCAAGGAGGAGGGGCAAAACAAACUGUAUUGUUUAUGUUUUGUUGAUGAUCUUCUGAUGUUUUGGAAGAAUCAGGCUUUGUACCAAAGCACCCUAGCUCAGCUGAAGGAGCACUUUGACAUGAAGGAUCUUGGUGAGGUAUCCAACUAUCUUUCUCUGCAGGUGGAGAGGGACCAAGCAGGUAAUUUUCUGGUACACCAAACACAGAAAAUUGCUGAUGUAUUAACCAGGUUGAAUUUGGUUGAUGCAAACCCAGCAGACACACCGAUGGUGACAGGUUACCAGGUAGAUAGUACUGCUGAAGCGUUUUCUGACACAACGCUGUACAGAUGCAUUCUAGGCAAGUUGAAUUUCAUUGCUAGAUGCUCAAGACCUGACAUAGCUGUAAGCUGUAACCUGCUUAGCAGACAUGCCAACAAUCCUACUGUUCAGGAUUGGAAAGCUCUGAAGCGCAUAGCCCGCUAUUUGAAAGGGACUUUGCACUACAGGCUGAGGUUCACCAGUCAGAAGACUGGAGGUCUUGAAAUCUUUGCAGAUGCAAGUUUUGGAAGUGACACCACGGAUGGUACAAGCACUUCUGGAGUAUGCUACAUGUACAACCACUGUCUGUUUGACUGGCUGUGCAAGAAGCAGACGACAGUGAGCCUAAGUUCCUGUGAAGCAGAACUCAAUGCUCUGUCAUUUUCACUCAUGGAUUGUGAAUGGUUGAUGCAACUGUUUAAGGACAUCAGAGUUUCUGUGAAAUGUCCUGUACAAGUGUAUCAAGACAAUAGAUCGUGUUUGGCUUUGCUGAACUCGGAGAGUUGCAAGCAAAGGACCAAGUACUUGCAGAUUAAGCUACAUCGUGCAAGGGAGUGUAUUCAGAAAGGACUCAUUCAGGUGUCCUACAUGCCAGGAAAUGAAAUUCCUGCUGAUCUGUUGUCUAAGGUUGUUAACAGAGAACAACUUAAGGUUUAUGUACAAAGGUUGCAAUUGGGUUGAACCACAGGUACUACAGGUUACACGGAAGGGGGAGGAUGUUAGGAUAUUUCCGUUCCACCUUAAAAGGGAGCAGGCUUUGUGAGUCAGAGUCUGCGUAUUUCCUGUUCACAGGAUGUUUAUGUUUGCUAUUGCUUUCGUUUUCUCUCUGGUGUCGCAGACACUAAAGCAGUCGGUCAUGUUUUUCUGUGUUCUGAUCAACGCUGAAUAAACUUGUAAAUAAUGCUCUCCUGAGUGCAACUUUUGGCUGUGCUAAUUGCUGAUAGAGCGUGCAUGAGUCUGGAAUGUGGCAAGAUAUUUUCUAGAAACUCAUGUCGCUGCGUGCCUAUGGGAGGCUGAUGGAUCGUCCGGCAGACGGCUUGGGGGCCGUGAUGGACUUUAUCUCCCUGGCAGUAUCCCAACAGGCAGCACUCGCAAAAGCACAUCAGGAAGCAUGCACAGCGUUUCACCAGAACAAGGAGAGAGGCCAUUCUUCCUUUUAGCCAAGGAAGAUUGUGGAGUCACUCCCGAAAGGGUGUCUGUGUGUGUGUUGCUGUUGUUGACAAGGUGAACUUAAUGAGGAGAGAGAGGGAGGGAGCACGCACACAAAUAGAAAGGAAAUCUUGAAGCAGGAGUCCAGCUCCUUACCUACACUUUUGCUGUUGUUUUGCUAACAAUUAGAAUUAACCAGUGUUUAAUCCUUUCAAGUUCCACGGAACCCUUUAAGUCAAAGAACAGAUGAAGCAAAGCAAAUAGACCAUGUUCAUGUAAGCAUGUCUGCAGAGAGAGUAAGAUAGUGAACUCUUGCGUGUUCCUUCCUCCUGUUGUAAAAAGAGCUUUAACGUUCAAGGUCACCUACACUAGGCCAGAUUAUUGGGUUUUUGUGUGUGUGCCGUAACAAUGUUACGAGGUGUAUGUCUGAACCCACGUGUCUGUCCACCACCUGUGUGCUCCUUACACACACUUCCAAGAAGUUUAGGAUCUUUUGCUGGAGUCAAUAUGCAUUCCCGUUGCCCCAUAAUCAAUCAAUCAAUCAAUCAAUCAAUCAAUCAAUCAAUCAAUUCUACCCCACUCAUCUGGCUGGGUUUCCCCAGCCACUCUGGGCGGCUUCCAAUAAAACAUUAAAAUAAAAUAAUUCAUCAGAUAUUAAAAACUUCCCUAAAUAGGGCUGUCUUCAGAUGUCUUCUAAAAGUUGGAUAGUUGUUAAUUUCUUUAACAUCUGGUGGGAGGGCAUUCCACAUGGCGGGCGCCACUACCGAGAAGGCCCUCUGCCUGGUUCCCUGUAACUUCGCUUAUUGCAGUGAGGAAACCACCAGAAGGCCCUCAACGCUUGACCUCAGUGUCUGGGCAGAACGAUGGGGGUGGAGAUGCUCCUUCAGAAAGCUUGGUUUAUUAUGCGAAAAGAAAGAAACAAGAGUUUAUAGGUUACAGUGAGGUUCAGAUAUGCAGGCGGCAAAUCAUGCAGCACAGACACAUCUUGAUCUGAAAGGGUAAAAGAAUCCCUAACUAUCCCCAAAGCCUAGAGAGUGAGUGUAACAAUGUCCCACAGACCC